rnacentral:rRNA from 1 species
CCUACGGGAGGCAGCAGUGAGGAAUAUUGGACAAUGGCGGGAAGGCUGAACCAGCCAAGUCGCGUGAGGGAAUAAGGCCCUAUGGGUCGUAAACCUCUUUUGUCGGGGAGCAAAGGCGUCCACGUGUGGACGAGAGGAGAGUACCUGAAGAAAAAGCAUCGGCUAACUCCGUGCCAGCAGCCGCGGUAAUACGGAGGAUGCGAGCGUUAUCCGGAUUUAUUGGGGUUAAAGGGUGCGUAGGCGGAGUGUCAAGUCAGCGGUAAAAUUGCGGGGUUCAACCCCGUCGUGCCGUGGAAACGGACGCCCUGGAGUGAGUGAGAAGUAAGCGGAAUGCGUGGUGUAGCGGUGAAAUGCAUAGAUAUUACGCAGAACGCCGAUGGCGAAGGCAGCUUACCGGAGCUCAACUGACGCUGAGGCACGAAAGUGCGGGUAUCGAACAGGAUUAGAUACCCGGGUAGUC